UUUUUUUUCAUCAAACCCAUACGUGUGGGUUAUCUUAUGGAUAGGUCUUCAAAAAUGAUAUUGAAGUUUCUAAUAUCAUUUUUAGGUUUGCGCGAGAGACACUUCCAAAGUCGUAAAAUGUGUGUCCCCCCCUGUAACUUCUAAAAUAACAGAAUGAUAAAACUAAAAAAAAUAUAUGAUGUACAUUACCGUGUAAACUUCCACCGAAAAUUGGUUUGAACGAGAUCUAGUAAGUAGUUUUUUUUUUAAUACGUCAUAAA